CUAGUGCCCGAAAGGCCAAAGCAAGCGAACUGCAAGUUCAGGGCCCGCCUCGACUAAGAUGGCACGUUUCUGUACAUACUGUGCUGAAACAAGACACUGUCUCCAAAGGAAAAAGGAGUUACAAUAUAGACGUUCACAGAAACUGCACGUUCUGCUCCUGCCAGGACUGCAUGGGAAUAAAACCCUCCAACAGAGCACAUGGUGCCGUGGUCCAGGACUUUUGGAGUUCCUGCUCGUUUGCCUGCCUGCCUGCCUUCCUUCCUUCGAGGUGCCUAGGGAACAACAGAUGCUCUGUCACUAAACUGCAUUCCCAGCCUGA
rnacentral:lncRNA from 1 species